rnacentral:sRNA from 1 species
GUAGAUGCUCAUUCCAUCUCUUAUGCUCGCCAUAUGGCUUCAUAAACCCAGGAAUGACGCAGAGCCGUUUACGGUGCUUAUCGUCCACUGACAGAUGUCGCUUUAGCCUCAUCAGACACCAUGGACAUAACGUUGAGUGAAGCACCCAUUAUGUUGUCGAAUUAAACCUGUUUAACGCCUGCUCCUCAUACGAGCAGGCGUUUUUUU